UGAACGCUAGCGGCAGGCCUAAUACAUGCAAGUCGUGGGGUAAGGCUCAUUUCGGUGAGUACACGACCGGCGCACGGGUGCGUAACGCGUAUGCAACCUACCUUUAACAGGGGGAUAGCCCGAAGAAAUUCGGAUUAACACCCCAUAACACUGCGCUGUGGCAUCACAAUGCAGUUAAAACUCCGGUGGUUAAAGAUGGGCAUGCGUGACAUUAGUUAGUUGGUGAGGUAACGGCUCACCAAGACAUCGAUGUCUAGGGGUUCUGAGAGGAUGAUCCCCCACACUGGUACUGAGACACGGACCAGACUCCUACGGGAGGCAGCAGUAAGGAAUAUUGGUCAAUGGAGGAAACUCUGAACCAGCCAUGCCGCGUGCAGGAAGACGGCCCUAUGGGUUGUAAACUGCUUUUAUAUAGGAAUAAACCUCUUCUCGUGAGAAGAGCUGAAGGUACUAUACGAAUAAGGACCGGCUAACUCC
rnacentral:rRNA from 1 species